CAUACGAGAGGAGACUACUCUCAGAUCCUGUCAGCCAAGACACUUCGCUUCUUUUUCCUUCUGACCUCUCUUCCUCUUCAGUUUUCUCAUAUCUGUGUCAACACAGACCCCUUUCUGGAGUGGUGGGGAGCUCUUACUUCCAAGCAAUGGCCAGUUCACCACCGGCGUUUUGGGAACUACUUGAGCGAGAAUGAAUUGCAGCUGUCUCUUAGGAAGCUUGGCAUGGGAUGUUAAUAUUCUUUGAAACUGUUCGGAGCAAGAAAAAAAAAGAUGGUCUCUCCUUCUUUGGGUUGCAAAGACACGGUUAUGUGAGAAACGAAUGCUGCGUGUGUUCACCAUGCUGCUGAAGAGCUUGUGCCCAAUGCCUGUCAGUAGAUUUGGACGAGCUGCUGGGUUCCAUGCCUGGAUACUGCUUGCUGUCUUUCACCUAGUCAUGGAUUUUUCUUCUUGUGAAUCGAAGAUGAGGGAUCAGGUUCUUUCUCAAUCUUCUGGGUCACUGCACCAAUCACCACGACACCGAGCUUCCGGUGAUCCUCUCUGGGAGUACAAAAUUAGCCGCCAUGGGAGAGUUUCAAAAUCGUGGUUGCACAGAAUGUUCUGGCCUAAGGCUCACCCUGGACAACAAAGCCCGAACAAGCCAACAGAGAUUCACAAACACAAGAUGGUCACAGGUAGCCUGUGUAUCAACUGUCAGACCAAACAAUCUGUGUCUCACAAAUUGGACCCUCCAGUCUCCAUGGAGACCAGGGAUUCGGUAAAAUUGACCUCUUUGAAAAGGGCAAGAAGGCAGAGUGAUAAUUUUGCAUUUGAUAAUUUUGAAAAACCCAAAUGCACUUCCUAUGACAGUGAAGGAAUAGCAACUGUGAUGCCUUGUGCUAUUGAAUGGGGUCCCACUAAAGAGGAGCUCACGGAAUUCAACAUGUUUUCAACUCCAGCAAGUCUUUCCACCACAACGCAGACUUUGCUGUUCCCUACCAGAACUACAACUGCCAGAACUACAACCACCACCACAGCAAGCACCACUACCACCACUAUGCAAAGCACGACCGCCUCACUUAGGAGCCAUAACAUAGUGGUGCCAGGGCCAGCUCUGCUCAGCACAACAGAUCCAAGCCUAAGGUGGGAGCUGUCCAACACUGCACGACCCUCCCGCAUUGGAGAGACAGGAGGUCUGGCCGUUCAUCAGAUCAUUACCAUCACAGUCUCCCUCAUCAUGAUUGUUGCUGCUUUGAUAACGACACUGGUGUUAAAAAAUUGCUGUGCACAAAGUGGGAAUGGCCGCCGAAACAGCCACCAACGAAAGAUCAACCAACAAGAAGAAAGUUGCCAAAAUCUCACUGACUUCACGGCGGCCCGAGUUCCGAGCAAUUUGGACAUAUUUACAGCAUACAAUGAGACCCUGCAGUGCUCCCACGAAUGUGUUCGGGCAUCAAUGCCAGUCUAUACCGACCAGGGCCUCCAACAAACCACAGUCUACAAAACCACAUUCAAUGGAAACCGAACACCCCCAUCUGAACGGCAGCUUAUCCCAGUGCCCUUCGUAUCGGAGAAAUGGUUUGAAAUCUCCUGCUGACUGGCCGAAGGCUCUUUCUCCUGGGGCGGGCAGACGUCACCUUUCUAAUUCUUGGAUUCCACUGGUGAAUCUGUAAAACACACGGAUGUCGACUUUUUUUUGCACACCCGUAGGACAGGGAGCGAAGAAAAUCUUGUUUAUUUUUGUAAGUGCGGAUGCCAAUAAAGUAACAUUAUUUUAUGAAGAAGAAAAUGUGGAAGAUGUACUGAAGAAUUGACCAUUUGCCAGAAUUGGAAUGGCAUGCAAUGUUGGGUGAGGAGAACUAUACAGCAGCCAAAUUCCGAUAAGACAGAUAACCUUUCAGAAGUGUCUAUGGUGGAGAUACAAUCUCAUGAACCCGGAUCCACUACCAACAGUGCCAUUAGAUGCCACGUACUUAGAGACUGCAGGCUGAGAAUGCCAAAGAUGGAAGCAUGGUUUCUGUAGAGCACUGAAGAGCAUUGGUGAUUGAGCAGUGCCUGCAGAUGAGCACACCAGCAUGACCAAUCAAAGCAGGCAGAAAACUGAGACUUUACAACAACACCAAGUUUGGAGCUUGAAAGCCCAACGCCUGGCAGCCAAUGAAGUGCAUGAGUGAAUCUGAAUAUUGAAGCCUCAAUGUUGAUGCUACUGGGACCUGUUUCAUGUCAAUAAGACUGCAAUGAAGAUUACAAAGCUAAUUGAACCGCCUUCUUUCCCAUUUUCCAUAUAAAAUGAUGGCCAUCAUUAAAUGAUACAUUUGUGCAGAAGGAAAACAUCGUGCUUUUGAAUUACUAUUCAUUUGUUGAUUUCAAUUUAGUUCCUUAGCUGUUUACCCUUUUGGGGUACCACAUUUCAAGUUCACUUCCUUGACAUAUUUGGGUAUCCUAGUACAAGGACCCAACAGAGAUGUCUUCCAUCAAUGUUAGUGUACUUACACAACAGAACCACUCUUCGAAAAACAACUCCUAGAUGUUCACCAUAGCUGUAAAGUGAUAAUUGAAUGGAUUUUGUUUGGAAUGCGGACUGUAGUUUUAUAAAAAGGGAAGUAUAAACUGCUCUUUAUCCUAGUUAAUCCACUAGUUAAAAACCAAGGAUGUGUAUGGGUAAAAGAGAAAAAGAUAUUAAGCAAAGCUAGAAAAAAUAUUAUUUAGUGUUAGUAUGAAUAUCAAAUAUAGCCUUCGAUCACCUUUUUUCAAGUUCCAUGUCAAUCAAUGUGCUAAUUAUCAAAAAUACAUGGGAAUUAAUUUGUUAACCCAAAAGAACCCAUUUCAACCCUUCACAUCUCCACAACAAUCCAAGCAAUGGUCCCUACAUGUGGCCAUUUCGAUUUCAGAAUGAAAAGCAGAGAGCUACAUUCAAUAAUGUCUUCCUUAUGUUUUUUAAAAUGAGUUUCGAUAAAGGGAUCAGUAACCCAAAGUGUUCAGAAUCAGAUUGGCCCCGGAACCUUUGCUAGUUACACUCCAUGGUUGGUGUUCAUCUUCACUGCACCCAAACAACAGUAAAGGGCUUCCCUAAUAAAUUUGAUCACAAAAUUCAAAAUUAAGCUCCCCUAUUUGUUAUUAUAAUAUAAUACUGUAGAUGUACACACAUGUGACACACAGAUCUCUCUCAUACUCUCACCACAUGAGCAGCUACUUGAAUCAGUAUUAACAAAGAGACAGUCCUGCACAUUGCAUAGUCUGUAACCCACUGAAUUCUUCCACAUCUUGGGUAUUCCAGUCCACAAAGUUUUGUCAUCUGACUGGGGAGCCCCUGAGGCUGCUGGAAAAUAUGGUACUGAAAAGGGUGUUAAACUAGCGAAAUGCCCAGACUAGUUGGCUUUCCAGGGAUGGCUGCUCCAUUGGAUAGUCCUUGCAAAUGAGAUGCAUGUUGGAGAGAGGAAUUCUCCAGGCUGGGGAGCAUGCUGUUAAGCUGUGUGCAUUAAGCUGGGAAGCUCACUAACCCAUGAUUCCAAAACCAUAUGGGGACAGAGCCCAAAUCAUGGAAGAAAUUUUACAGGGGGAUCUUUUGUGGGAUGAUAAGGAGUAAACUGAGCAAAAUUCCAAAAAUUUUACAUCUUGAUAGAAUAAUGAACAAUGUCUGCAACCUGCUAAAUAGUACGGAGGAAUUAAACUUUUGUAAAUGAACUCCAUCUGCUUUUUGAACUGUCAGCAAGUAUUCAUAACAUGGACUGAAAUGGGUUCUAAAAAUCUCCAUGGUAACAGUAAUUUGAAAAAUGUUAGUGAGGCUUAAUUGCUUUUGCAGUAAAUACUCACUGAUGUUUUGUCUUAACAAGAAAAAACAAUACCUGUUUUUUUCAAUAUUGUGUUUAACACGAUUUUACACUCUCACUGAAUACCACUCCUGCAUUUUAAAAAUGUAAUGUGUUAUUCAAAAGGCAUUUUAAAAUAUUGUGUCAGUUAAAUAAUACUUGUUUUAUCCUUUUGGCUCACAAAAGGUGAAAUUCUUAGCGUAAAAUCUGGUCUAUAAGCUACACUUCAAACUGGCUUUAGGUCUGCUAAAAGCAACAGUAACUUGUACACCAGGACAAUUUUUAAAUAUAUUUUAUUCGAAUGCAAAACAGAAAACUAUAAGGUUAGAGAUUAAUAUUUUCAAUAUUCUUGUGUCAGAUUGCUUCCUUUGAUAUUUCAAAAGCAGGCAUUAGCACAUCUAAAACAGGCUCACAUCAAAUUUCUUGCUUCACAACGUUACAGCUUCCUUUAAUAUGACACGGUGAGGAGCCAUGAUACAAACCACCAAAAUGCUUGUAGAAUAAUGGCAAAUAAUCUCUACCUUAUAGGAAGUAUAUUUUAUAAACCUGCAACACACUGUAUAGUCCGUAUUGUACGCUAAGUUUUAAAGGGGAAGAAAAGCUUUUGCUGUCACCAUCUUUUUCUAUUGAAAUAAGUGGUACUUUCUGGAGAGAGAGAGAGAGAGAGAGAGAGAGAGAGAGAGAGAGAGAGAGAGAGAGAGAAUAUAUAUAUAUAUAUAAAUAUAAUAUAUAUCCAUCUUCCAGUGAGAGCAAAGGUGUAUUUUUUCCUCAAGGGAACAGUUUCAUUGGGGGAUGGUUUCUAUUUUGUCACUGCUGUACUUCUGAACUGUGUGUUUGAAUGCACUGUAAACACAACCUGUACCAAUUCUCUUGUGUAAGUUUAG